GAUGAACGCUAGCUACAGGCUUAACACAUGGCAAGUCGAGGGGCAGCAUGAUUGAAGCUUGCUUCAAUUGAUGGCGACCGGCGCACGGGUGAGUAACACGUAUCCAACCUUCCGUACACUCAGGGAUAGGCCUUUCGAAAGAAAGAUUAAUACCGGAUGGCAUAGUUUUCCCGCAUGGGAUGAUUAUUAAAGAAUUUCGGUGUCGAUGGGGAUGCGUUCCAUUAGGCAGUUGGCGGGGUAACGGCCCACCAAACCUACGAUGGAUAGGGGUUCUGAGAGGAAGGUCCCCCCACAUUGGAACUGAGACACGGUCCAAACUCCUACGGGAGGCAGCAGUGAGGAAUAUUGGUCAAUGGGCGAGAGCCUGAACCAGCCAAGUAGCGUGAAGGAUGAAGGUCCUACGGAUUGUAAACUUCUUUUAUACGGGAAUAAAGUAUCCUACGUGUAGGAUUUUGUAUGUACCGUAUGAAUAAGCAUCGGCUAACUCCGUG
rnacentral:rRNA from 1 species